rnacentral:rRNA from 1 species
CAACUUUCAACAACGGAUCUCUUGGUUCUGGCAUCGAUNAANAACGCAGCGAAAUGCGAUACGUAGUGUGAAUUGCAAAAUUCAGUGAAUCAUCNAAUCUUUGAACGCACAUUGCGCCCUUUGGUAUUCCAAAGGGCAUGCCUGUUCGAGCGUCAUUU